UGGGGAAUAUUGCACAAUGGGCGCAAGCCUGAUGCAGCCAUGCCGCGUGUAUGAAGAAGGCCUUCGGGUUGUAAAGUACUUUCGGUCGGGAGGAAGGUGGUAAGGUUAAUAACCUUAUCAAUUGACGUUACCGACAGAAGAAGCACCGGCUAACUCCGUGCCAGCAGCCGCGGUAAUACGGAGGGUGCAAGCGUUAAUCGGAAUUACUGGGCGUAAAGCGCACGCAGGCGGUUGAUUGAGUCAGAUGUGAAAUCCCCGGGCUCAACCUGGGAAUUGCAUCUGAUACUGGUCAGCUAGAGUCUUGUAGAGGGGGGUAGAAUUCCAUGUGUAGCGGUGAAAUGCGUAGAGAUGUGGAGGAAUACCGGUGGCGAAGGCGGCCCCCUGGACAAAGACUGACGCUCAGGUGCAAAAGCGUGGGGAGCAAACAGG
rnacentral:rRNA from 1 species